AUCAAACCCAGGAACACCCAAGACCUAUGCCUUCUAAUUUUCAAUCUAAUAGUGUUUAGGGAUGGAUGAUCUAUAUUCAUUUGGUCUUCUUCUCUUGCUUUAUCCUUCUUCAAGGAGUGACUGUUGCUUCUCUUUUUACUAAAUUGGUGCUGCUUCCAUAAAAAGGUAUUCCAUAUCUUUUGAGUUUAAGGUAUCUUCUCUGCGUUUUAGUUGUUAUGUUUCCAAUUUAAAACUUUUCCUAUAAUCUUUUUUUUUUUUUUUUUGAUGAUAAUUGUUGUUCAGUAGUCCUGGCAAAUGUGACAUGUUAGUUUAAAUGUGGAUAAGUUGAAGUUAAAUAGAGAUAGCAUUGUAAUCUGGGGCUAAAUAUAAAUUUGCAUUUUAUACAUUAACCAACAAGGAAUGAAAUCAAGCUAAUUGUUAGUAACAUCAGAAAAUAGGGAUAUUUUUAGAUGUCUUAAACUUCUGAACUUGUUAACAUGGAGGAGCAAGUCUAUACAAUCCAUGAUAAACAAGUGCAUAAUUUGAGACCUCGGCUAGUUUUAAUUAUUCCGUGUAUUCAAAUAUGUGUGUGUAUAUACACACACACACACAAAGGGCUCAAUGUAUUAGAAGGCACAUAUACCAUUUGAUAGUGGCGUUGUAGGAAUUGACACUAUUUACAAGCGUAGUAUCAACACUAUUGACAGAAGCAUUUUAAGUAUCAAUGUGCUAUGAGACUUCACGGUGUAGAGUGUAGAGUCCAGUUGCAACUUUACCAAUUAUCGAUGGCUUUUUCAAACAAGGGCCCCGUUGAAUACAUCCGGAAUAGGUAAAGAUAACUAAACAAUUUAAUUUACUAAGUAACUGAUGCACAGAAAUUAGAUGGAAAUAAAAGAACUAGCUUCAUAUUUGUAAGACAAUUUGCAGUUAAAGUCAAAGAACUAGUAGAAGUAACAUUAAUGAGAUGAAGCUAAUGGAAGAGGAGUAAUGUUAUAAAGUGCGUGCUUAUUUGGUAUCAUAUGAUUUGUUGCUCUUGAGUCUAGAAUCGAAGGAUCAUUACCAAACUGACCUACAGAAGCAUCAGCAGAACUACUUAAAAAACCUGCAAAAUUUGCGGAGCCAGAGGGACUACUAGAAGGAUCCUGUACCACAUCAGGUAAAUGUGCUUGUUGGAAAAAGGGGGUCAAUUCUUUAUAUCUUGCUUUGUCUGCCAAUGCUGUGAAAAGAAUGGCUGCUUAUUUCAGUGUUUCCCUGCAGUUGUGCCUCAAACUUGGGAUUUAUUUGUUCUGCCAAAUAUAUUUGCCUUAUAUACUGUCCAAGUGAAUAAGUAACAUCCACAAGUCUGAAUUUAACUUUGUAUUUUGCGUCUUUUGAUUGUUUGAAUGAGAAUAUGUGGUUUAUCAGGAAAAUUUGGGAUCUUCUCAUAAUGCAUUAUUAUCAGUUUAUCACUUUUUAUAUCUAUUUGUUUUCAUGUUGAAUGCAAUCGUUUUACUGCUGCAUCUUUCUAAAGCUAAGGCACGUAUACACAUCACACAAUUAUGAUCAAACUUACUAGUUUUCAUCAUACUACCUGAUCUUGAUCGCUUGCUGGAUUCACAAAAUCCUGAGGAGACAGUAGUUUUAAGGUGUCAUAAUUCAGCUUUAAAACAUCGAUCAAUUGUUCUGUGACCGGAAAUUCAACUUCUGAUUCAAUUGAGUUUUGCUUCUUGGUAUUGUGUUCUGGCAGUAUGCACCAUUAUACUGGUGAAUAAAAUUACUGCAAUCCACUCUUAUUUUCUUGAAAAGAAACUGUGUUAAGCAGGCCCAUGCAUACUCUGGGAUGCUCUAACUAGUGUUACUGGUGUGCUGUCAUCUGAGUUUGGUGAUGGAGAGAUUUCCGCGGUUAGCACAGUGUGCUCUUUCUGUGCCAGUUACUCCAAAAUACUUGAAAUCUUGUAAGAAAAUGAAUCCUCUGACCUUCCACUUAACACAACUCCAUGACUCCCGGAGACCAAUAUUCAUACAAUGGAAUCUGCAGGGAAGAUAUUCUGUAUGCACUGACUUAAUAUCCAAUAAAAGUUACAGUUCUGCCACAGCUCGAGCAGGUUGGUUUCUGGGUUUAGGAGAGAAAAAGAAGCAAAUCAUGCCUGACAUUGUGAAAGCUGGUGACCCUGUUCUUCAUGAACCCACUCAGGAUGUUCCUCUUGAAGAUAUUGGGUCAGAACGGAUCCAAAAGAUCAUAGAUGAGAUGGUGACGGUUAUGAGAAAUGCACCUGGAGUUGGUCUUGCUGCUCCUCAAAUUGGUAUUCCUUUGAAGAUAAUUGUGCUGGAAGACACAAAUGAGUACAUAAGCUAUGCUCCUAAAGAUGAAAUCAAAGCACAAGAUAGACGUCCAUUUGAUCUCCUGGUUAUUAUAAAUCCAAAGCUUCAACAGAAAGGCAAUAAAACUGCAUUGUUUUUCGAGGGGUGCUUGAGUGUUGAUGGAUUCAGAGCGGUUGUGGAAAGACACCUAGAAGUAGAGGUAAAAGGUUUGGAUCGAAAUGGCAAAGCAAUCAAAGUAGUUGCUUCAGGAUGGCAGGCUCGCAUUUUGCAGCACGAAUGUGACCACCUAGAUGGAACUCUCUAUGUUGACAAGAUGGUCCCUAGAACAUUCAGGACUGUAGAGAACUUGGACUUGCCUCUUGCAGCUGGAUGUCCCAAAUUGGGAGUGUGCUAGGUCCACUACCUCAUCAAGUGACUCUUUAUGAACUGAAUUAUCAAUAUCUUGCUUGGGAAUGGGAUCAUUGGAUGGUUGUGAAGUUUAGGAGAUGAUUAAGGAGCUGCGGACCCAUCUUGUCGAAUAUCGAACUACUUGGAUUCACAUGAGGUUGAAUACAAUCAAUAGGAGGAGUUGUGUUUGUUCUCAAUUCUCCAUAAGUUUCCCAACAAUAAGGUCCAUAAAAGUGCUUCUUUUCUGGUGAAGGGUUAAGCUCUAUGGCUGAAAGGGAAACACCUGUGCAUGGCACAGAGUCACUGCAUGCAAAAUGAACUGGUUUAUAUGAAUAAGUUCCUUUUAUGGAUUGAUAUGAAACUCCUGAGAUGGCUACUGCUGCUGUAUGAUUCCUACAUUUUCUUUUGUCACAAUAGAAUUGAUCUAUCAUUAUUGGUGUUUUCACAUCUGAAACUUGGAUAUUUGAGAACAUGAUUCCCUGAACUGAACCUGAGCCUCCCUGAAAUUUCCAACAAAUUCAAUUAUAGAGACAUAAUUUGAAAGCCAGAGGCAGAUGCAAGGAUUUUAGUCGAUGGAAUCAAUUUUCAAGGUUCUUACCACUGAACCUAUUUUAUGUUUGAAGUUAUGGGUUUAAAUAAUAUAUUUGAAAUUUUAGUAAUUUCUUAUACUAUAUUUGUGUCGUAUCCAUAAUAAUAGGUUCAGUUGAACUCAUGCUUCAUUACUUUA